GGCUGCCAGGCUGGCGUACAGUGGCGCAAUCUCAGCUCGCUGCAACCUCCACCUCCUGGGUUCAAGCGAUUUUCUUGCCUCUGCCUCCUGAGUAGCUGGGAUUACUGGCACACACCACCAUGCACAGUUCCUUGUUCAAAAUGCCAAGAACCUGGAUGACUCAUAGUCAAGACCCUCCACCAGUAACAUAUAUUGGCGAGCCAGCCAGGAGCUUGGAACCCUCGGUGGACAGUGCCUAAGCACAGAGGCAACCACAGGUUUCUAACAGGGCCACUCUCUGGUGAAACUGAAAGGUUUCUGUGUGAAAGUGCCUGACCACCACUGCCCAAUUCAGUUGCAGGAAUUUAGCCAAUUCAGAGGUCUUGUUCUCCAUAAUUUGGAAUUUUCCUUCGGAUUUGAUCAAGUUGGAUAGAGUUGGUCAAACCCAAUGGGAAAAAGAUGAAAACAACAAGAAACAGAAACAAACAGCAACAACAACAACAACAAAAACAAUGCAUUUAAUUAAAUGAAGAUGAGCUCAUGCUGGAGUAGGGUGGACUCUGAACCCAGUGGGACAAGCGUCCUUAUUAAGAAGAGGGAAAUCUGGACACACACAGAGCAGAGACCGCCGUGUGAAGAUGGAGGCAGAGAUCGGAGAGAUGCUGCCACACGCCACAAAUGCCUGGGGCUCCCAGAAACUACACGGAGCCUCCCCCAGCGGCUUCAGCAGGAGCAUGGCUCGGCCAACACUUUGAUCUUGGUCUUCCAGCCUCCAGAACGCUGUACCACUCCUCCUGAUGACUCACCUGGCUCCUGCGGGCAUCUGAGAUGUGGUUUCUGCUCCACACUUCCUGGGGGAGCAGAGGAACUCCUCAGCCUCCUCUCAAACUUCUCUCAGGUUGUGCUGUUCACUCCCUCCCCAGGCUUCCGGUCCACACGGACAGCUCUGACCCCGAGAAGAUUCUUUGUCUUAGACAAACAUCUGCCUCCCUGUAACUUCGGUUCACCGAUACUUGCUCUGCACUCCAGGGCCAUACAGAACCCCUCUGCUCCCUCUGCCCUUAGCCAUUGGCUCCUAGGAGACACUAGCUUGUCCGGCCGUCGCUUUAAACUGUCUAGUUCCAACUCCCUCAGAACUUCCUCAGUGAUGCAGUUUCCUGACGGUCAUAU
ensembl:lncRNA GARS1-DT GARS1 divergent transcript